GUCAGGAUGGCCGAGCCGUCUAAGGCGCCAGACUCAAGGUUCAAUUCAUUCUCGUCAUGAAUGGGAGAGUAUUCUGGUCUCCGGAUGAAGGCGUGGGUUCGAAUCCCACUUCUGACA
rfam:Nematostella vectensis strain CH2 x CH6 NEMVEscaffold_589_Cont30495, whole genome shotgun sequence.